UGCAGUCGAACGGUGAAGCUCCAGCUUGCUGGAGUGGAUCAGUGGCGAACGGGUGAGUAACACGUGAGCAACCUGCCCCAGACUCUGGAAUAAGCGCUGGAAACGGCGUCUAAUACUGGAUACGAGAUCAGUCCGCAUGGGCAUGGUCUGGAAAGUUUUUCGGUUUGGGAUGGGCUCGCGGCCUAUCAGCUUGUUGGUGAGGUAAUGGCUCACCAAGGCGACGACGGGUAGCCGGCCUGAGAGGGCGACCGGCCACACUGGGACUGAGACACGGCCCAGACUCCUACGGGAGGCAGCAGUGGGGAAUAUUGCACAAUGGGCGAAAGCCUGAUGCAGCGACGCCGCGUGAGGGAUGACGGCCUUCGGGUUGUAAACCUCUUUCAGCAGGGAAGAAGCGAAAGUGACGGUACCUGCAGAAGAAGCACCGGCUAACUACGUGCCAGCAGCCGCGGUAAUACGUAGGGUGCGAGCGUUGUCCGGAAUUAUUGGGCGUAAAGAGCUUGUAGGCGGUUUGUCGCGUCUGCUGUGAAAAUCCGGGGCUCAACCCCGGACUUGCAGUGGGUACGGGCAGACUAGAGUGUGGUAGGGGAGACUGGAAUUCCUGGUGUAGCGGUGAAAUGCGCAGAUAUCAGGAGGAACACCGAUGGCGAAGGCAGGUCUCUGGGCCACUACUGACGCUGAGAAGCGAAAGCAUGGGGAGCGAACAGGAUUAGAUACCCUGGUAGUCCAUGCCGUAAACGUUGGGCGCUAGGUGUGGGACUCAUUCCACGAGUUCCGUGCCGCAGCUAACGCAUUAAGCGCCCCGCCUGGGGAGUACGGCCGCAAGGCUAAAACUCAAAGGAAUUGAC
rnacentral:rRNA from 1 species